GACGGAGGGUGCAAGCGUUGUUCGGAAUUACUGGGCGUAAAGCGCGUGUAGGCGGCUCUCUAAGUCUGAUGUGAAAGCCCGGGGCUCACCCCCGGAAGUGCAUUGGAAACUGGAGAGCUCGAGUCCCGGAGAGGAGGGUGGAAUUCCUGGUGUAGCGGUGAAAUGCGUAGAUAUCAGGAGGAACACCGGUGGCGAAGGCGGCCCUCUGGACGGUGACUGACGCUAAGACGCGAAAGCGUGGGGAGCAAACAGGAUUAGAUACCCUGGUAGUCCACGCUGUAAACGAUGAGCACUAGGUGUCGCGGGUAUUGACCCCUGCGGUGCCGUCGCUAACGCAUUAAGUGCUCCGCCUGGGGACUACGGCCGCAAGGCUAAA
rnacentral:rRNA from 1 species